rnacentral:rRNA from 1 species
UACGUAGGGAGCAAGCGUUAAUCGGAAUUACUGGGCGUAAAGCGUGCGCAGGCGGUUUUGUAAGUCUGACGUGAAAUCCCCGGGCUCAACCUGGGAAUUGCGUUGGAGACUGCAAGGCUGGAGUCUGGCAGAGGGGGGUAGAAUUCCACGUGUAGCAGUGAAAUGCGUAGAGAUGUGGAGGAACACCGAUGGCGAAGGCAGCCCCCUGGGUCAAGACUGACGCUCAUGCACGAAAGCGUGGGGAGCGAACAGG